AAGUCGUAACAAGGUCUCCGUAGGUGAACCUGCGGAGGGAUCAUUAACAAAAAAUAAAAUAAAAUUGUCCAAAUUUCAAAACAGCCCUAAAAACGCUCAAUGACUUUCGGCUUUUUUACUCUUUUACAAAAACACAACGCGAACUAUGUGACUGACCGAACGAAAAAACAAAAAUUCGUUUUUUUCUUUUUUGUUCGGCUUUUUUUCACUAACAACCAAUUUCACCAUUUUUUUUUUAUUUCUUUGAUAAAAAAAAGCCAAAACAAAUAUCAAAAACUGAAAAGUUGGAAUUUAAUUUCUAAUAUUUUUUUCACAAAAAAAACAAAAAUUAAAGCACAACUCUUAGCAACGGAUAUCUUGGUUCUC
rnacentral:misc_RNA from 1 species